CCUACGGGGGGCUGCAGUCGAGGAUCUUCGGCAAUGGGCGCAAGCCUGACCGAGCGAGGCCGCGUGGGCGACGAAGGCCUUCGGGUUGUAAAGCCCUGUCGAGGGGGAGAAAAGCCGAAAGGUUUGAUCUAUCCCUGGAGGAAGCACGGGCUAAGUUCGUGCCAGCAGCCGCGGUAAGACGAACCGUGCGAACGUUGUUCGGAAUCACUGGGCUUAAAGGGCGCGUAGGCGGGCUAUCAAGUCCGGGGUGAGAGCCUCCAGCUCAACUGGAGAACGGCCUCGGAUACUGAUGGUCUCGAGGGGGAUAGGGGCACACGGAACUGUGGGUGGAGCGGUGAAAUGCGUUGAUAUCCAUAGGAACUCCGGUGGCGAAAGCGGUGUGCUGGAUCCCUUCUGACGCUGAGGCGCGAAAGCCAGGGGAGCAAACGGGAUUAGAUACCCUAGUAGUC
rnacentral:rRNA from 1 species